GGAAUCUUCGGCAAUGGGGGCGAACCCUGACCGAGCAACGCCGCGUGAGUGAAGAAGGUUUUCGGAUCGUAAAGCUCUGUUGUAAGAGAAGAACGUGUGUGAGAGUGGAAAGUUCACACAGUGACGGUAACUUACCAGAAAGGGACGGCUAACUACGUGCCAG
rnacentral:rRNA from 1 species